rnacentral:rRNA from 1 species
GACGAACGCUGGCGGUGUGCUUAACACAUGCAAGUCGAACGGUAAGGCCCUUUCGGGGGUACACGAGUGGCGAACGGGUGAGUAACACGUGAGUAACCUGCCCUCAUCUCUGGGAUAACAGUCGGAAACGGUUGCUAAUACUGGAUAUGAGCUUGCAAGGCAUCUUGUGGGUUGGAAAGAUUUUUUUGGUUGGGGAUGGACUCGCGGCCUAUCAGCUUGUUGGUGAGGUAGUGGCUCACCAAGGCUUCGACGGGUAGCCGGCCUGAGAGGGCGACCGGCCACAUUGGGACUGAGAGACGGCCCAAACUCCUACGGGAGGCAGCAGUGGGGAAUAUUGCACAAUGGACGGAAGUCGGAUGCAGCAACGCCGCGGGCGGGAUGACGGCCUUCGGGUUGGAAACCGCUUUCAAUUGUGACGAAGCUUUUUGUGACGGUAGCAGUAGAAGAAGCACCGGCUAACUACGUG